UACGUAGGGCGCAAGCGUUUAUCCGGAAUUACUGGGCGUAAAGAGCUCGUAGGUGGUUUGUCGCGUUGUUCGUGAAAACUCACAGCUCAACUGUGGGCGUGCGGGCGAUACGGGCAGACUAGAGUACUGCAGGGGAGACUGGAAUUCCUGGUGUAGCGGUGGAAUGCGCAGAUAUCAGGAGGAACACCGGUGGCGAAGGCGGGUCUCUGGGCAGUAACUGACGCUGAGGAGCGAAAGCGUGGGGAGCGAACAGG
rnacentral:rRNA from 1 species